rnacentral:rRNA from 1 species
AAUCAACGCUGGCGGCGUGCCUAACACAUGCAAGUCGAACGAGAAAGGGGACUUCGGUCCCUGAGUACAGUGGCGCACGGGUGAGUAACACGUGACUUAUCUACCCUCGAGUGGGGAAUAACUUCGGGAAACCGAGGCUAAUACCGCAUAAUACCCACGGGUCAAAGGAGCAAUUCGCUUGAGGAGGAGGUCGCGGCCGAUUAGUUAGUUGGCGGGGUAAUGGCCACCAAGACAGUGAUCGGUAUCCGGCCUGAGAGGGCGCACGGACACACUGGAACUGAAACACGGUCCAGACUCCUACGGGAGGCAGCAGUGGGGAAUUUUGCGCAAUGGGGGAAACCCUGACGCAGCAACGCCGCGUGGAGGAUGAAGUCUCUUGGGACGUAAACUCCUUUCGAUCGGGACGAUUAUGACAGUACCGGAAGAAGAAGCCCCGGCUAACUUCGUG